rnacentral:tRNA from 1 species
AAAAAGAUAGACUAUUAUCUAAGUUUUUAGAUUCAUAAUCUGAAGAAAAAUUUUUAAAAUUUUCUUUUUA